rnacentral:lncRNA from 1 species
UCCACUCAAAAUUCUUUUAGGGUUUUUUGUUAUUAUUAAGUGUAUUCAUGGUCAAGGACCAAAUAAGCAAACAAGGUAUACACAAUCAAAAUAAUAUCACAUAAUAUGGUCGAAAUGGACAAAGGGAAAAUUACAUUAACAUAAACAAUUAGAAUGAUAUGUAUAAUGGCAAAUGAUAUAAAGUACUAAAAGUAAAUUGCAUUAAAAGUAAAGACUUGAAAUUAAAAGUUAAUGGUUAGUGAGUUAGUAGUUAGUUUUGUUUUGCUUUUUGAUUUCAAG